UCCACUUCAUAAUUGUGUCCCACUUGUUGUUGAUUCUUCACAAAAAAAUACAGUUUUAUAUCUUUAUGUUUGAAGCCUGAAAUGUGGCAAAAGGUCGAAAAGUUCAAGGGGGCCGAAUACUUUCGGAAGGCACUGUAUAUACAAUUAAAGGGAUAGUUCACUGAAAUAUUUUUUUGUAUUUUGUUCAUUAGUCCACCCACAAAAUUGUGCAUGUCAGCAGUCAAGUUUCCAAGAUAGAGCACUUUCAGUACAGAGCAAAAACUGUAGUGAUGAUGAUGAUGCAGUUUGAAUUGAGUGAACGAUCCCUUUUAAAUAAAAAAUAUAUACUAAAUAAAAACAAACUCAUUUCUACCUCCAUGCUGUACAGAGGGGGAUCUGUUACUGGCCAGCUGUGCUCAGGAUUGCCUGAUCCAUGUGUGGAGGCUGGUUGCCAAAUCUGGGACUGAGGGAAACACACAGGAUGAACACACCAUUAGGAUGACUGAGGACGUCUUUAAACUGACAGACACCGAUGCCUCCUCAGUGUUUGCAGUGACGCUAGAGUCAGUCCUGGCCGGACACGAGAACAAGGUCUAUGGAGUCCACUGGCAGACCCUUGCCAUCAAAGAGCUCCCUCCAGAGGACCACCUGCUCCAAAAUACACUAUGGCCUGAUGUCCAAAAACUCACUGUUUCCUACUGUAUUGGAAUGCAUACGAGGUAUGUGUGAUUUCAAUCUUUUGUGAGCAAUAACAUUUUUA
rnacentral:lncRNA from 8 species